rnacentral:rRNA from 1 species
AUUGAACGCUGGCGGCAGGCUUAACACAUGCAAGUCGAGCGGAGUGAUGGUGCUUGCACUAUCACUUAGCGGCGGACGGGUGAGUAAUGCUUAGGAAUCUGCCUAUUAGUGGGGGACAACAUCUCGAAAGGGAUGCUAAUACCGCAUACGUCCUACGGGAGAAAGCAGGGGAUCACUUGUGACCUUGCGCUAAUAGAUGAGCCUAAGUCGGAUUAGCUAGUUGGUGGGGUAAAGGCCUACCAAGGCGACGAUCUGUAGCGGGUCUGAGAGGAUGAUCCGCCACACUGGGACUGAGACCCGGCCCAGACUCCUACGGGAGGCAGCCGUAGGGCAUAUUGGACAAUGGGGGGAACCCUGAUCCCUCCCUGCCGCGUGUGUGAAGAAGGCCUUAUGGUUGUAACCCCCUUUAAUCGAGGAGGAGGCUCUUUUGGUUAAUACCCAAGAUGAGUGGACGUUACUCGCAGAAUCAGCACCGGCUAACUCUGUGCCAGCCGCCGCCGUAACAC